rnacentral:rRNA from 1 species
CUGGGGAUCUGCCCGAUAGAGGGGGAUAACCACUGGAAACGGUGGCUAAUACCGCAUAACGUCUCACGACCAAAGAGGGGGACCUUCUGGCCUCUCACUAUCGGAUGAACCCCCAUGGGAUUAGCUAGUAGGCGGGGUAAUGGCCCACCUAUGCGACAAUCCCUAUCUGGUCUGAGAGGAUGACCACCCACACUGGAACUGAGACACGGUCCACACUCCUACGGGAGGCGGCAGUGGGGAAUAUUGCACAAUGGGCGCAAGCCUGAUGCACCCAUGCCCCGUGUAUGAAAAAAGCCUUCUGGUUGUAAAGUACUUUCUCCGGGGAGGAAAGCGAUGGGGUUAAUAACCCUGUCUAUUGACGUUACCCGCACAAAAAACACCGGCUAACUCCCUGCCACCACCCGCGGUAAUACAGAGGGUGCAAGCGUUAAUC